rnacentral:rRNA from 1 species
GCAGCCAUGCCGCGUGUGUGAAGAAGGCCUUCGGGUUGUAAAGCACUUUCAGUCGUGAGGAAGGUGGUGGUGUUAAUAGCAUUAUCAUUUGACGUUAGCGACAGAAGAAGCACCGGCUAACUCCGUGCCAGCAGCCGCGGUAAUACGGAGGGUGCGAGCGUUAAUCGGAAUUACUGGGCGUAAAGCGCAUGCAGGUGGUUUGUUAAGUCAGAUGUGAAAGCCCGGGGCUCAACCUCGGAAUAGCAUUUGAAACUGGCAGACUAGAGUACUGUAGAGGGGGGUAGAAUUUCAGGUGUAGCGGUGAAAUGCGUAGAGAUCUGAAGGAAUACCGGUGGCGAAGGCGGCCCCCUGGACAGAUACUGACACUCAGAUGCGAAAGCGUGGGGAGCAAACAGGAUUAGAUACCCUGGUAGUCCACGCCGUAAACGAUGUCUACUUGGAGGUUGUGGCCUUGAGCCGUGGCUUUCGGAGCUAACGCGUUAAGUAGACCGCCUGGGGAGUACGGUCGCAAGAUUAAAACUCAAAUGAAUUGACGGGGGCCCGCACAAGCGGUGGAGCAUGUGGUUUAAUUCGAUGCAACGCGAAGAACCUUACCUACUCUUGACAUCCAGAGAACUUUCCAGAGAUGGAUUGGUGCCUUCGGGAACUCUGAGACAGGUGCUGCAUGGCUGUCGUCAGCUCGUGUUGUGAAAUGUUGGGUUAAGUCCCGCAACGAGCGCAACCCUUAUCCUUGUUUGCCAGCGAGUAAUGUCGGGAACUCCAGGGAGACUGCCGGUGAUAAACCGGAGGAAGGUGGGGACGACGUCAAGUCAUCAUGGCCCUUACGAGUAGGGCUACACACGUGCUACAAUGGCGCAUACAGAGGGCAGCAAGCUAGCGAUAGUGAGCGAAUCCCAAAAAGUGCGUCGUAGUCCGGAUUGGAGUCUGCAACUCGACUCCAUGAAGUCGGAAUCGCUAGUAAUCGUGGAUCAGAAUGCCACGGUGAAUACGUUCCCGGGCCUUGUACACACCGCCCGUCACACCAUGGGAGUGGGCUGCAAAAGAAGUAGGUAGUUUAACCUUCGGGAGGACGCUUACCACUUGGGUUCAUGACUG